rnacentral:lncRNA from 1 species
UUAUAAAAGGGGAUUGAGUCCCCCAGUAAAGGUACGUUGUUUCUGAGCCUGAAACUGAAUACUUAUUUGAUUUUAGCAAGCUCUCACUGACUUGAUUGUCGAAGUGUGAUCAAUAUAUAGAGCCCCCUCUCUCUCAACAGAGCGAUGUUCCAGUGCACCAGGAGGAGACAGACUAGAAGCGGAUAAAACUUUGUCACCCAGUCAACCCAAGAUCAACCGGGGAGAACAUUUGGCACCCACCAUGGGACCCGAUAAAACUUUAUCCCAUCCACAGUUGUGAUUGAGCCUUCUGACGUGAUGAAGAACACGAGGCAAGUACCCCUGGGAUCUGAAGGAAACGAUGAUUCCGCUUUACAACAAUUCAUGGAUGCCAUGAGAGUCUUCAUUGAGAGGAACGAAAAAG